UACGUAGGGUGCAAGCGUUGUCCGGAAUUAUUGGGCGUAAAGAGCUCGUAGGCGGUCUGUCGCGUCGGCUGUGAAAACCCGGAGCUCAACUCCGGGCCUGCAGUCGAUACGGGCAAACUGGAGUGUUGCAGGGGAGACUGGAAUUCCUGGUGUAGCGGUGGAAUGCGCAGAUAUCAGGAGGAACACCAAUGGCGAAGGCAGAUCUCUGGGCCGUAACUGACGCUGAGGAGCGAAAGUGUGGGGAGCGAACAGG
rnacentral:rRNA from 1 species